rnacentral:rRNA from 1 species
CUCGUAGGCGGUUCGUCGCGUCCGGUGUGAAAGUCCAUCGCUUAACGGUGGAUCCGCGCCGGGUACGGGCGGGCUUGAGUGCGGUAGGGGAGACUGGAAUUCCCGGUGUAACGGUGGAAUGUGUAGAUAUCGGGAGGAACACCAAUGGCGAAGGCAGGUCUCUGGGCCGUUACUGACGCUGAGGCUCGAAAGCGUGGGGAGCAAACA